rnacentral:rRNA from 1 species
UACGGGGGGGGCAAGCGUUGUUCGGAAUUACUGGGCGUAAAGGGCGCGUAGGCGGUUCGCUAAGUUGAAUGUGAAAACUCUGGGCUUAACCCAGAGCCUGCAUCCAAAACUGGCGAACUGGAGUACUGGAGGGGAAAGCGGAAUUCCUGGUGUAGCGGUGAAAUGCGUAGAUAUCGUCAAGAACACCGAUAGCGAAGGCAGCUUACUGGGCUGUAACUGACGCUGAGGCACGAAAGUGUGGGGAUCAAACAGGG